AACGAACGCUGGCGGCAGGCUUAACACAUGCAAGUCGAACGCCCCGCAAGGGGAGUGGCAGACGGGUGAGUAACGCGUGGGAACGUACCCUUCGGUUCGGAACAACCCUGGGAAACUAGGGCUAAUACCGGAUACGUGCGAAAGCAGAAAGGUUUACUGCCGAAGGAUCGGCCCGCGUCUGAUUAGCUAGUUGGUGAGGUAACGGCUCACCAAGGCGACGAUCAGUAGCUGGUCUGAGAGGAUGAUCAGCCACAUUGGGACUGAGACACGGCCCAAACUCCUACGGGAGGCAGCAGUGGGGAAUAUUGGACAAUGGGCGCAAGCCUGAUCCAGCCAUGCCGCGUGAGUGAUGACGGCCCUAGGGUUGUAAAGCUCUUUUACCUGGGAAGAUAAUGACGGUACCAGGAGAAUAAGCCCCGGCUAACUUCGUGCCAGCCGCCGCCGUAAAAC
rnacentral:rRNA from 1 species